rnacentral:lncRNA from 1 species
AACGUUCCUGAUCAUAGGAUUGCCAAUUGGGCAUUGACAGUCCGUUAAGAUCAGUACGUGCUAUGUCUUUUCUUAGGGAGAGUGACUGGUCUUGAGUCAUUGGUGUGACUGACACCAAGACAAGUACGUAGGUGCUCAAUAGAGAAUGAGUUCACUGAACGUGAUCAACAAGGAGUUCUCAUACUCAUGUCACAUGAGAACUCAUGGUUGGGAUAAUGCAAAGUAGUCCUUUGACCUAAGGCAUCAUAGUUGCCUUGUGGUUAGGUCCUUGAUCUUUGACUAUGUCAAAGUCACUUCAUCCGAGGGUGUCCACGACAUAGUUAGGGUUAAGCCACUUAGCCAUGGAGGCAAGUGAAUGCGCAACAAGGGAUCUCUAACCUUCAAA